rnacentral:rRNA from 1 species
CAGCUAGUUGGUGAGGUAAUGGCUCACCAAGGCGACGAUCGAUAGCUGUUCUGAGAGGAAGAUCAGCCACACUGGGACUGAGACACGGCCCAGACUCCUACGGGAGGCAGCAGUUGGGAAUCUUGGACAAUGGGGGAAACCCUGAUCCAGCCAUGCCGCGUGAGUGAUGAAGGCCUUCGGGUUGUAAAACUCUUUCGACGGGGACGAUAAUGACGGUACCCGUAGAAGAAGCUCCGGCUAACUUCGUGCCAGCAGCCGCGGUAAUACGAAGGGGGCUAGCGUUGUUCGGAAUUACUGGGCGUAAAGCGCGCGCAGGCGGUUUUUCAAGUCAGUGGUGAAAGCCCGGAGCUCAACUCCGGAAAUGCCAUUGAAACUGUAAAACUUGAGGACGAGAGAGGUGAGUGGAAUUCCCAGUGUAGAGGUGAAAUUCGUAGAUAUUGGGAAGAACACCGGUGGCGAAGGCGGCUCACUGGCUCGUUUCAGACGCUC